rnacentral:rRNA from 1 species
UACGUAGGGUGCAAGCGUUGUCCGGAAUUAUUGGGCGUAAAGAGCUCGUAGGCGGUUUGUUGCGUCGGCUGUGAAAUCCCGAGGCUCAACCUCGGGUCUGCAGUCGAUACGAGCAAACUAGAGUGUUGCAGGGGAGACUGGAAUUCCUGGUGUAGCGGUGAAAUGCGCAGAUAUCAGGAGGAACACCGGUGGCGAAGGCGGACCUCUGGGCCUUGCCUGACGCUGAGGCGCGAAAGCUAGGGGAGCGAACAGG